CGCCAGACUCCUACGGGAGGCAGCAGUGGGGAAUAUUGCACAAUGGGGGGAACCCUGAUGCAGCGACGCCGCGUGGGUGAAGGAGCACCUCGGUGCGUAAAGCCCUAUCGGCAGGGAAGAAACAGACGGUACCUGACUAAGAAGCCCCGGCUAACUACGUGCCAGCAGCCGCGGUAAUACGUAGGGGGCAAGCGUUAUCCGGAUUCACUGGGUGUAAAGGGAGCGUAGACGGCGACGCAAGUCCGGAGUGAAAGCCCGGGGCUCAACCCUGGGACUGCUCUGGAAACUGUAAAGCUGGAGUGCGGGAGGGGCAGGCGGAAUUCCUGGUGUAGCGGUGAAAUGCGUAGAUAUCAGGAGGAACACCGGCGGCGAAGGCGGCCUGCUGGACCGUAACUGACGUUGAGGCUCGAAAGCGUGGGGAGCAAACAGGAUUAGAUACCCUCGUAU
rnacentral:rRNA from 1 species